rnacentral:rRNA from 1 species
AUACGGAGGAUCCGAGCGUUAUCCGGAUUUAUUGGGUUUAAAGGGUGCGCAGGCGGCCAUUUAAGUCAGCGGUUAAAUCGUGGGGCUCAACCCCAUUCUGCCGUUGAUACUGGGUGGCUUGAUUGCGGUCGAGGUUGGCGGAAUUCGUUGUGUAGCGGUGAAAUGCAUAGAUAUGACGAAGAACACCGAUUGCGUAGGCAGCUGACCAGACCGCAAAUGACGCUCAUGCACGAAAGUGCGGGGAUCGAACAGGAUUAGAUACCCUGGUAGUCCGCACAGUAAACGAUGAAUACUUGUUUUCGGCGAUAUAAUGUCGGAGGCAAAGCGAAAGCGAUAAGUAUUCCACCUGGGGAGUACGCCGGAAACGGUGAAACUCAAAGGAAUUGACGGGG